AUAGCCUUACCGAAAGGAAGAUUAAUACCGCAUAAUAUAAUUGAACGGCAUUCGUUUUAAUUAUACAAACGUCGAGGGUUGAAGAGUGGGCAUGCGUCCGAUUAGUUUGUUGGUGAGGUAACGGCUCACCAAGACUACGAUCGGUAGGGGAUCUGAGAGGAUGACCCCCCACACUGGUACUGAGACACGGACCAGACUCCUACGGGAGGCAGCAGUAAGGAAUAUUGGUCAAUGGACGCAAGUCUGAACCAGCCAUGCCGCGUGCAGGAAGACGGUCCUCUGGAUUGUAAACUGCUUUUGUUAGGGAAGAAACCCUCGGAUGCGUUCGAGGCUGACGGUACCUAAAGAAUAAGGAUCGGCUAACUCCGUG
rnacentral:rRNA from 1 species